UACGAAGGGUGCAAGCGUUAAUCGGAAUUACUGGGCGUAAAGGGUGCGUAGGCGGUUGUUUAAGUCUGUCGUGAAAUCCCCGGGCUCAACCUGGGAAUGGCGAUGGAUACUGGGCAGCUAGAGUGUGUCAGAGGAUGGUGGAAUUCCCGGUGUAGCGGUGAAAUGCGUAGAGAUCGGGAGGAACAUCAGUGGCGAAGGCGGCCAUCUGGGGACAACACUGACGCUGAGGAGCGAAAGCAUGGGGAGCGAACAGG
rnacentral:rRNA from 1 species